rnacentral:lncRNA from 1 species
GAUAAACAGAGAGCAAAUUAGAAUGCUGGGAAGUUGACAUGUCGUCACUUCAUAUUUUUGCGUCUGCGCAUAAAUCUGAGAAGCGUGAGUUUGUCAUAAUUGUUUAUCUAGACAUAGGAUAGGUUGUGUGAAAAUAUUACUGAUGUUUAACGUUAAAAAUGGACCAAAAGAUUAAUGCUAAACAACGUUUGACAUGUUUGAACGAACGUAAAUAGAUUAUUUACUAGUUUUUUUUAGCUUUUCGGCGUGAUUUUACACCCCCCCCCACCACGUUUUGUGGGAGCAUAAUGAACGUUAACUACUUGGUGUUAUUUGGACAUAAAUUAUGAACUUUGUCAAAAGAAACCACAUUUGUUCUGGACCUGGGAUUCCUGGCAGUGCCUUCUGAUGGAGAUAAUCAAAGAGGUUCUAAACCCAGAGGUCCAACAUUGCUAUAUUUCGGGGAACGCUUCGCAAAGCAGACUUGACAGUCCAGACCGGGGUUGUGGUUUGAGGACCUGAGCCCUAGGACCAUGCCUCAGGACUACCUGGCAUGAUGACUCCUUGCUGUCCCCAGUCCACCUGGCUGUGCUGCUGCUCCAGUUUCAACUGUUCUGCCUGCGGCUAUGGAACCCUGACAUGUUCACCGGACGUGCUACCUGUCCCAGACCUGCUGUUUUCAACUCUCUACAGACAGCAGGAGCGGUAGAGAUACUGUCAAUGAUCGGCUAUGAAAAGCCAACUGACAUUUACUCCUGAGAUGCUGACCUGUUGCACCUUCGACAACUACUGUGAUUGUUAUUAUUUGACCAUGCUGAACAUUUGAACAUCUUGGCCAUGUUCUGUUAUAAUCUCCACCCAGCACAGCCAGAAGAGGACUGGCCACCCCUCAUAGCCUGGUUCCUCUCUAGGUUUCUUUGUGGGUUUUGGCCUUUCUAGGGAGUUUUUCCUAGCCACCGUGCUUCUACACCUGCAUUGCUUGCUGUUUGGGGUUGUAGGCUGGGUUUCUGUACAGCACUUUUAGAUAUCAGCUGAUGUAAGAAGGGCUAUAUAAAUACAUUUGAUUUGAUUUUAAUUCUAAAUGCUGCCGCAGAUAUGGCCUGGACAAUGCUGGGGGAAAAGGCCAAGGAACAACUACUAAAAUGUAAUUCGUUUGAACAAUUAUGUUAUGUAUAUAAUUAUACAUUUAAAUGUAGUUAAUUUAGCAUACACUCUUAUCACACCAUAGUGCAGGGGAGUACUGCAGGUACAGCAGGAUUUUGUUCCAACUAAUUGAUCAGUUCAGUGACUACCUAAAUUCAACACACGUAGUCUUACAGGUUGGUUAAAUCAAAACAUGAAGUGCCUGCAGCACUCCAGUACCAGGGUUGCCUUCCCCAGCCAUAGUCCUAUCAGACUUCUGAUACCAAUGCAGGGUGAACCAUAAUUUUAAAAAAGUGUAUAAAAAAGUAUUUUGUAUUUUUGAAAUAAAAAUGUCAGUAUUUUUUUUAAUACAAAAUACAUUGGAGAUUAAUUCAGCCCAGUGUAAUUCAAAUUACAAAAAACUCUGAAGUAAUAAAAGUACAAAUUUCACAUGUAACAGAACUACUGCCCAUCUCUGUACACACUCAUGCAUGUACAAACACAUUCCACAAGACAAACAGAUAAUACUAACAUGAAGAAUUUUUCCACUCAUAAAAUGUGAAUCUUUAUUAAAUGUUGACAAGAACAUUAAAACACAGUAUCAAGAUUCCACAAAACAAUCUAUAUUCACGAGAGAGAAAAAUGAAAGCAGAGUUGGUUCUGUGAUGGGGACUAGGGAGCUUGGGGCUGAGGGAGGUUGGGUUUGGGGAAUGGAGAGAUGGAGGAGGUGGGAGAAAUGGAGGGGUUAGGGGAAUGGAGAGCAUGUGAGAUGGAGGGGGAAUGUAAAAAAGGAGGAGUGAGACAGAGGAGGGUGAGGGAACAGGAGGGAUUGAUCAGUACUCUGCUGAAGCUGAUGAUAAUGAGUGGGAGAAAGGGAUAACUGAAUGAUCCCAACUUCUGUUUAUAAUGCUGGAGUCAAGCUAGUGCUUGAGUUUAAAGAGAACUGCCUUCUAGAACCAACUAAAUGUAAAUGGCCUAUGUGGCACCGAUAUGAAUCAAAAACAUUAAUUACAGUGUGUAAAUAGGAUAAUGUUGGUCAUUAAGUCAGUCUUGUCUAAAAUGAGAUUUGGAAGUGAGUGCAUCACGACAUGUAUGGAUGGGUUGGGUAUGAAUUACAUGCCCACUUUUGCCAAUGAUGAUGUCUAGAUGGCAAGGAAUGGAUUACAUGCAACAAACGUACGACAUGAUGGCUGUGACUGGUGUGUGGUGAGUAGCUAACUAGCUAGCUAUGAUACUGUUAUACUGUGAUGUAACUAGCUAAAUACAUAUCAUUACACAAUCGGGAGAGGCUAUGUAAUGUCAUAGAGGAAGAUUUGCAUAGUUAACAUUGCACCUGAUGACAAGGUUUGAUAGGAUGUAACUUUAGCCAGCUUGCAAUUGAUUAUGUUUCAACUCGAACUGGCUAGCUAAGAACCUCUCUAUGCUGGCUAACAUUAGAUAGCUAGGCAAUUAAUAUAAACUCAUACAAAGAU